ACAAUCUAAUUUAGAACAUUUUCAUCACCCCAUAAUGAAAUGUUAUACUCAUUAUCUAUUCUAAAUUUUUUAAAAUGUCAGUCAUAAUGAAAUGAAAUCUACUUGAUUCAUGGGUCAGAACUGAGAACUGUAAAAUCAGUGCAGCUGUUUCACUGAAGUGUCUCAUUUAUUCCUCACUAGACCUCAAAAGCAGGUGUUAACUAUACCCAGGUCACAGUACCGAGAGGCAGAGAGAUACAUAACGUGUCCAGGGUCACACACUCAUAAGUGACAGAACUGAAAGUCCAAGCCAGUCCUCCAGGUGCCCUUUGGAGUUCUUCCAGUGGCAUUGAGACAGCAAGAGCCACUGUCUGUCCCCGGAAGGGUGAAUGCGUAGUCACAAAAGCAGGCCCCACACAUAUCCUCACACUGCUGGGAGCCACUGCCUGUGGUCAGCAGGGUGAUCUCAGUGCGCAAAACUGGUUGCAAUCAGAAAUGCUGCCAGACGACCUGUGCUCAGAGCUCAGCAAUGAAAUUCAUAAGUGGGCUGAGCUGAGGUGACGCUCAGCACAGCAGGAUUCGGAAGAUGACUUUGAGAAGCAAACUCAUAACAAAAGGCCUUCAAGAAUAAUGCUGCCUCGAAUUCUUUUAACGUGGAACAGAUGACCACAUUUCAGAAGCUACAAACCAUCGCAAGGAUACAUGGAUAUUUUUAUAGCAUUAAACUAUUGUUAUCAAGUGAAACUUACAGCAAUUUCAAUGACAUGCCUCCAAAAUUCCUACAGAACAAUUGUACAGCAUGCUGUAGUGAAGUGCAGAUGAAAAAAACUCCCUAUUGGUCAGCAUCUAGCAUCCUGUCUGAGAUGUUCAUGAACAUACACUACCAAUUUGGAUGCUGGGGAAGAGCUGGAGUUUGCCCAAGAGCCGUGCCAAAGAACCAGAAACCCUACUCCCAAUCUGAACACAGCUGUGACUUGGACUCACAGAGACACAGGCCUUCAAAGGAAACAAACUAAGCUACCCCUGUGGACAGAAGGCCUCUAGACCAGCCCUCCAGGUGCAAGACAGACCCAGAAGCAUUUGAAGAUUAGAGAAGUACACGGUGAAUCUCCAUGCCAAGGAAGCUUUCUAUCCUCCUAAGCUGAAAGAUCUGCAGGCACUGAGCUCAUUAGCAGAAGCACCUGGAUAGUCAGAACCCCUCGCCUGAAAGCUGGGAACGGCUGACGCGCGCCCCCUGCCGGCUGUUCUGAAAACAAUCAAAUAACGUGGGGCUGGCGGCCUGGACAGGGAGGCUUCACAAAGAAACGAGAAAACGGCGGCCAUGCUGAGACUGUGCUGGGCUUGGAAUACGCAGUUCUGGAGACCAGAGAGAAAAGACAGGAGCAAUUCAAAACGGCCGGUUCCCUAAAGGAAUGUUUGAGAGAGUGGUUCUGAAAUACAAAUGGUCUUUCAGCUUGAAAAUGUGCAAUGGCUGGUAGAUUCAGAGAGCCUGAAUUCAGAACACAAAGAAAAGGCGAGAAAUGAGAUGUCAUCCUUGACUAAAAAUAGAAACAAUCACAAAAGCCAUACAUGGACAGACAUAUAGAAGAUGUUGACGAAAACAAUAUUUGAGUGCUUAUUAGGGGCCAAGCACCAUUCUAAGAGCUUUACCUUUAUGGUCUCAUCUAAUCGUCAUAAUGAUCCUAUGAAAUAAUAUUAAUUUAUCAGAUGUGGAAAGUAGGGCGUACAGAUGUAAAGCAACUUGUGCAAGGCCAAACAGCUAGAAAAUAGCAGAGCUGGGAAAGAUACAGCAAACAAAAGGCAGGUGGAAAAUGGAUUACAGGUUGCUCUUAUCCGAGGUGUUUGCCGCCAGUGCAGUGGCGUGUGGCCGUAACCCCAGCUCCUUGAGCGGCUGGGCUCAGGAGUUUGAAUCCAGCCUGGGCAACAGAGCUAGACCCCCCCAC